GAAACAAAAAAGAAAUAACGCCAAACAAACCUUUGACGCGAAAUCCAAAAAAAAAAGAAGAAAAAAAAAUAGACCAGGAAAUAGAUAAACGAACAUGAAAUAUGUAUAUUUCUUUUUUGAUUUAUUCAUUCGUCAUCGAGGUUUAUGAUUCGUCGUAGUCAAAAAUUGUCGUCCCGCGUAUUUUAGAUAUCGCAAAUUUGGGACGAGUCGGACGUUAAAUGAAUAAUUUCCUAUCGUGGCACAAUGAAGGCAUCUCUGUUUCAGAAUGACGCUAAAAACGACACUGGCAGUCUCGUAAAAGAAAAAAAAUAGAAUACUAACGCAUUCUACGAACUCUACGAAUGUGGUGGAUAUCUAACUAUGCUGGAAUUUGUUCUCUACUGCGAUAAAUGGGGGUCCAAGAGGGAGGAGGAGGAGGAAGAGGAGGAGAGUCAGAAAGGGGGUGAAAGUUCGAAAUCCGGAAAACGUCGACUGUACGACGGCAUUACGCGUCGUACUCGUUAAGCCGAAGCGAAGGCUCGUGUCAGAACGUUUCCUAAUUAACAUGGAAAGCUUUAGUCGAAUGGACGGACGCUUGAAUUAUCUUCCUUAUCGAUCACCUACGAUACCAUAUACAUAAUUAACGCUUCUCGAAAUCGUUAACACAUCAGUCGAAUUAGUAAGGACCCCGCCUCCCCCCCAGUUUGCAAAAUCGAUUAUCAUCACGUAACGGUAAUAAGAGGCGAACUAGAGAAAAUACGAUGAGUUCUCUGAAGCUAACGUCAUCAUCGUCUCACGGCACCUUCGUAGUCAGCCGCGAAGCUGCAUUUGCUACUCAAUGCAUCUAUGUAUGUGUAUAUAUAUACAUACAUAUACAAAUAAACAUACUAUCUA